CAGCUGAGAGACCUGAGCGUGUGCCUCCUUCAGACUGCCCUGAAAACACACACAUGCAACAGGAACCAAAGCUACACAAGCUGGAAACACGAGUAAAACUCCUCUAGAUGUUCCAUUAUUGUAUUUUUGGCCUCUGCGUCCUCUAGCAUCGCUCCAACAUCAAACACAUUAUCCAGUGUUGCAUUGUGCACAAUAAGAUCAAGGAGACACAGUGGAGGUGAUAAGAUGAGUGAGACGGAUGAACAGAAAAAGAAGGGAAGUCUUUUCUUACCUCUUUGAAAUUAUUAAAGGCUGCAAUAAUCAUUUCG